rnacentral:rRNA from 1 species
CCUACGGGAGGCAGCAGUAGGGAAUCUUGCGCAAUGGGCGAAAGCCUGACGCAGCCAUGCCGCGUGAAUGAUGAAGGUCUUAGGAUUGUAAAAUUCUUUCACCGGGGACGAUAAUGACGGUACCCGGAGAAGAAGCCCCGGCUAACUUCGUGCCAGCAGCCGCGGUAAUACGAAGGGGGCUAGCGUUGCUCGGAAUUACUGGGCGUAAAGGGCGCGUAGGCGGAUAGUUUAGUCAGAGGUAAAAGCCCAGGGCUCAACCUUGGAACUGCCUUUGAUACUGGCUAUCUUGAGUACGGGAGAGGUGUGUGGAACUCCGAGUGUAGAGGUGAAAUUCGUAGAUAUUCGGAAGAACACCAGUGGCGAAGGCGACACACUGGCCCGUUACUGACGCUGAGGCGCGAAAGCGUGGGGAGCAAACAGGAUUAGAUACCCUGGUAGUCCACGCCGUAAACGAUGAGUGCUAGUUGUCGGCAUGCAUGCAUGUCGGUGACGCAGCUAACGCAUUAAGCACUCCGCCUGGGGAGUACGGUCGCAAGAUUAAAAACUCAAAAUGAAAUUGACGG